rnacentral:lncRNA from 1 species
UAAGAACUGCCAAAAUAUUUGCUGAUAUUUUUAUAGAAAUGUGAACAUUUCUGUGCUUUUUAAAAGCAGUCUUUUUUUGUCAGGAGGACCUGAUUCCCUCCUUCCUCUCACUUUCCUUCUCUGCUCACAUCAGUGCCACUGUCCUCAAGCCCGUUCAUACCCCAGAUUACCCGUGCUUCAAUGUUCACAGCUAAUAAUAGUUUAUAUUUUUCUCUGUAGUCAUAUAAUUCAAUAAAAACUAUCUAUCUACAUGCAUCUAUAUCUAUAUUGGGAAGAGCUGGUAAUUAUUUCAUUUUAUAGAAGUGAUAACAUCUUAUGUAAGCUUUUCUACAGCUUGCUUCUCUCAUUCAGCAAUCCCUUCAAGUCAUCUGCUAUGGUAUGUAUUCAAGGUCAUACCAUGAUAUGGACUUAUGAUCACAUAUUAAAUCAUUUGUCCUAUGAUGGGCAUUUAUUUCCAGCUUUCUGAACCAUUAUAAGCAGUGCUCCAAUAAAUACCCUUUUAUAUAGAUAUCUUAGGUAUUACCACUUUUAUUAUUAUGGCAGAGAUUCCCACAUUGCAACCACUGGUUUGAGAGUGUGUUUUCCAAUUUUAAUUGAUGCCAUCUGAUUGUUUUCCAUAGCAGUAACACUACACAUUUCCACCAAUAAUGCAAGAAGCCAUCCUUUUUUUGACAUCCUUAGUAAUAAUAGGUGUCACUUUUUCUAUUUCCAGACUCAUUGACAGAGAAACAGCAUUGAUGGGGAAUUAGAGGACCUCACAGGAUGAAGCUGUCUAUGCUGAAUAUGGGGAAUAAAAGUAGAAAUGAAUCAAGGGAAGGAAAAUAAGCCACAUGCGAGCAGAAGCUUAGCGAAGCUGAGCAUGCGGUGCUGCUUUCUAGGAGUAAGCAGAAAAACAGAAACACAUUUCAAACAGAAAAAUGGCAGAUUCACUUUAGUGCAUUCACUUCUUUAUUUACUUAUUUAGAACCCUCUAUUUAGCAUCUACCAAAGGCCAGAUAGCAGUCAUACAAAGGGUAUACAGCCACGAAUAAGACAGUCAGAUUCCAUGCACUCAAAAAAACAUUAGUUGGAGAUUCAGAUGUGUACAGGCAUCUAGGAUUGAAGAGAUGAAAUCUAGGGAAACACUUGGUGGACACAGAUUCAGGAUUAGUGUAAUAAUCAGUUGCAUACUGUGUGUAACAGUGGAAUCUACUUAAAAUGAAAAAGCCAGAAGGGGAAACUGGGGCCACAGCAAACAGGGGCCAAUAGAAACAAAACAGGAAGCAGAGUCCAAGUAGCUAGGAUACAAGUUAGGUCUUACUACUGGACAGUGUUUAUGGGAUGGGGACAGAUAAACUACAAAACCUUUGAAGACUUGAACUAGAAGGUUCAAUAGAAUCAGUCUUUACCACAAGAAAUGGAAAGUUGCUGCUCAUAUAGUUUUGUUCAAGUGCCUGAUACUUGUCCUUUUUGGCAGAAUUGUUUCCAAAUUCUAGGGAAUUGUGAAUAAGAUGGUUUUGAUUGUGACUAGCUAGAUUUUACUACUUUUCCAAGAAAGAGUGAACCAACCUGGAAGCAACUGAUUACUCAUUUCACAGAGGUGAGGUGUGGUGAAGCUCAUUCAAUGGUGGCCAUCCUACAGUACAAUGUCUACCAUGAGGCCAGAAAAGAAUCGUCAUCAUAGUGAUUAUUUUAGGUGCUCAUCAGAAAUCUAGGAAAUUAAACUGGGAAAAGCUAUUGGGUUUAGCAAUUAGAAAGUAAUUGGUGAGCUUAGAAAACAGUUUUAUUCGAAUCCUAUGGGGAAAAGGCAGAGUUUAAGGGAGACUUAUGGAAUAGUUGAACUGUGGGAAAGAGGAGACCAAAACUGUAGGAUACUGUCUCCAGGUCUUAUAGUUACGAGAAGAAAGGUGAUAAAAUAGCAGAGGGGAGAAGGAAUUUGAGCACAGAUGUGUGUUUUUUUUUUUUUCUUAACACUAAGAUCUAAGCAUAUCAACAGGAAAUAGAAAAGAGACAGAAAAUAUUGAUGAAGCUGACCAUCAAAAGGAAACGGAGCAGGUCCAAAGGAAGAUGGUAGGUAAAAGUCUGAAUCAUGGACAGAGAUAGAAGACUUAGUCUGAAAUGGCUAGAGUGAGACUUGGGCAUUUCUGCUCCAGGAAAUCUAGGUGAAGAGUAUUUGAAAAUACAUAUGUCAUAUACUUAGAAAUUCUGAAAGUAACGUCAUGGAAAACAUUUAUUUCUGAAAAAUAGUUUGUGUAUAUGUAGAAAAUACCUAGAAGGGUCUAUAUUGAAGUGUUAAUGGUAGUUACUUUUCUGGGGUGAGUUUCAUUCAGUCAAUGUUUAAUGCUUCCUCUUACAAGGUACUGGGUGGCCCAGUGUUGGGAAUAUAAUUAUAAACAAGUCCUGGCCCUCAUGGAAUUCAUAUUCUAGGAGGGAAGCAAAUAACAAACAAAUAAGAAAUACAGUCUCCAUAAUGAAUGCUAUUAAGAAAAAGUUAAGCAAGAUAAGAGAUGAACCAGUGAUAGGGGUGCUGUUUUGACAAGCAGGCCUCUUUCAACAGGGACUUGAAUAGGAAAAUAUUCCAAACUAUAGGUUAGUGAGGGCAAGUGACCCUGGGUCAGGAAAGUGUGGGUGAGCUCAAGGAAAUGCAAGAAGGUGAGUGUGACGAGGGUAUAGUGAGGAGAGAGAGUAGGAGGGGACUGUUCAUCUCAAGAUUGUUUAGGUUCCAUCUCAGUGCAGUGGGAAGCUCUGGGAGUGUUUGAGCGCAAAAGCAGCAUGAUCUGAUUAGAUUUGAACAGAUCACUCUGGCUGCUGUGUGGAAAAUCAAAAGCCCGUGUCUGAGAGGCCCCAGGGAGAAUGGUAGGCAGCUGUCCCCAGCAGUCCAAGGGAGAGAUGGUGGCACUAUUGGAAGAAGGGAUAAAAUGAGAUUGAAUGCAACAUGCCUAAGAUGUGCUGUUUGACUUUACUGGAUGGUUAGAUUCUUUUCUUUGCAAUGGGAAUGUAUUUUUUAUAACUUCAGUCAAAAAACCUGAGCAAUACUGUAACAUUGCUAAAUAAAGAUGCUGACCAGCAAAAUCAGGGUGGUAGUGUAUGAAAUAGCAGCAAAAACAAAGGAAACAUGUAGGCCCAAACCAGAAUUCUAAUAAUACGCUGAUAGCCAAAGGUGCUCUUCAGCGGGGUUAAAGUUGAAACUUAAAUCAAGUCAAAUGCUAGGAACCAGGGGUGGGUCUCAGAGUAUUAAACUAUUUUCCUUCUAAUUCUCCCAAAAUGCUACAUCGAAAUUAUUACCGUGUUUUUCAAAGAACCUGCAUCAAGUCCCAUGAUUCUUAAUCAAAUCAAGCAGUUUCCUUCAUGUAAGCAACACUGAGCUUUGUUCUUGUAUGCAGAUCAUUUGGGUUGUUUCUGAACUGUGGAGCCAUUAAGAUCAAUAUCUGGGUAGUCAUUGCUAGUGAGUAGUGAGUUUCCUGGAGUCUAAGAAUAUAUCAGUUUCCCAUGUUUCCAUAUAUAUGAGAUUAGAGAGAGCAAAAAGGACCUUAAAAAAAUGAAAUGUCUAAUGUUGC